UACGUAGGGUGCGAGCGUUAAUCGGAAUUACUGGGCGUAAAGCGUGCGCAGGCGGUUUUGUAAGGCAGAUGUGAAAUCCCCGGGCUUAACCUGGGAAUGGCAUUUGGGACUGCAAGGCUGGAGUGUGGCAGAGGAGACUGGAAUUCCUGGUGUAGCAGUGAAAUGCGUAGAGAUGUGGAGGAACACCGAUGGCGAAGGCAGCCCCCUGGGUCAAGAUUGACGCUCAUGCACGAAAGCGUGGGGAGCAAACAGG
rnacentral:rRNA from 1 species